rnacentral:rRNA from 1 species
CCUACGGGAGGCAGCAGUGGGGAAUUUUGGACAAUGGGCGCAAGCCUGAUCCAGCAAUGCCGCGUGAGUGAAGAAGGCCUUCGGGUUGUAAAGCUCUUUUGUCAGGGAAGAAACGGUCUGUUCUAAUACAGCGGGCUAAUGACGGUACCUGAAGAAUAAGCACCGGCUAACUACGUGCCAGCAGCCGCGGUAAUACGUAGGGUGCAAGCGUUAAUCGGAAUUACUGGGCGUAAAGCGUGCGCAGGCGGUUUUGUAAGUUUGUCGUGAAAUCCCCGGGCUCAACCUGGGAAUGGCGAUGAAGACUGCAAGGCUAGAGUUUGGCAGAGGGGGGUAGAAUUCCACGUGUAGCAGUGAAAUGCGUAGAUAUGUGGAGGAACACCGAUGGCGAAGGCAGCCCCCUGGGUCAAAACUGACGCUCAUGCACGAAAGCGUGGGGAGCAAACAGGAUUAGAUACCCUGGUAGUCCACGCCCUAAACGAUGUCUACUAGUUGUCGGGUCUUAAUUGACUUGGUAACGCAGCUAACGCGUGAAGUAGACCGCCUGGGGAGUACGGUCGCAAGAUUAAAACUCAAAGGAAUUGACGG